ACCUAGCGGCGACGGAUGAUGAUGCUUAUGAGUCUGCCUAUUAGUGGGGGACAGCUUCUCAAAGGGGAUGCUAGUACCGCAUACGUCCUACCGCAGAAAGCAGGGGAUCUUCGGACCUUGCGCUAGUAAAUGAACCUAAGUCGGAUUAACUAGUUGGUGGGGUAAAGGCCUACCCAGGCGACCAUCUGUCCCUGGUCUGAUAGGAUGAUCCGCCACACUGGGACUGAGACACAGCCCAUACUCCUACAGGAGGCAGGAAUGGGGAAUAUUGGACGAUGGGAGGAACCCUGAUCCAUCCAUGCCUCGUGUGUGAGUAAGGCCUUAUGGUUGUAUGGCACUUUAAUUCAGGAGGAGGCUACGCUAGUUAGUACCUAAGGAUAGUGGACGUUACUCGCAAAAUAAGAACCGGCUAACUCUGUGCUGCCAGCCGCGGUAAUACAUAGGGUGCAAGCGUUAAUCGGAUUUACUGGGCGUAAAGCGUGCGUAGGCGCCUUAUUAAUUCUCAUGUGAAAUCCCCCAGCUCACCUUGUGAAUUGCGUUCUAUACUGUGGAGCUCUAGUAUGGUAGAGGAUGGUAGAAUUCUACGUGUAUCGGUGAAAUGCGUAUAGAUCUGGAGGAGUACAGAUGUCGAAGG
rnacentral:rRNA from 1 species